AGUGCUUUGCUCGGCCUUUUGGCUAAGAUCAAGUGUAGUAUCUGUUCUUAUCAGUUUCAAGUUGUUGUGGAGCUGGUGGGGAUGGGUGCUGCACGGAGGGGACAGGUAUACCGGGACGUUCCGGGGCAGGGUCUGAGGAAUCAGCUCGACAGCUGCCCUGAAAUGACCUGUUUCCCUCUGGAUUUU